rnacentral:rRNA from 1 species
AUAGAGUUUGAUCAUGGCUCAGAUUGAACGCUGGCGGCAGGCCUAACACAUGCAAGUCGAGCGGAUGAAGAGAGCUUGCUCUCUGAUUCAGCGGCGGACGGGUGAGUAAUGCCUAGGAAUCUGCCUGGUAGUGGGGGACAACGUCUCGAAAGGGGCGCUAAUACCGCAUACGUCCUACGGGAGAAAGCAGGGGACCUUCGGGCCUUGCGCUAUCAGAUGAGCCUAGGUCGGAUUAGCUAGUUGGUGAGGUAAUGGCUCACCAAGGCGACGAUCCGUAACUGGUCUGAGAGGAUGAUCAGUCACACUGGAACUGAGACACGGUCCAGACUCCUACGGGAGGCAGCAGUGGGGAAUAUUGGACAAUGGGCGAAAGCCUGAUCCAGCCAUGCCGCGUGUGUGAAGAAGGUCUUCGGAUUGUAAAGCACUUUAAGUUGGGAGGAAGGGCGGUAAAUUAAUACUUUGCUGUUUAGACGUUACCGACAGAAUAAGCACCGGCUAACUCUGUGCCAGCAGCCGCGGUAAUACAGAGGGUGCAAGCGUUAAUCGGAAUUACUGGGCGUAAAGCGCGCGUAGGUGGUUUGUUAAGUUGGAUGUGAAAGCCCCGGGCUCAACCUGGGAACUGCAUUCAAAACUGACAAGCUAGAGUAUGGUAGAGGGUGGUGGAAUUUCCUGUGUAGCGGUGAAAUGCGUAGAUAUAGGAAGGAACACCAGUGGCGAAGGCGACCGCCUGGACUGAUACUGACACUGAGGUGCGAAAGCGUGGGGAGCAAACAGGAUUAGAUACCCUGGUAGUCCACGCCGUAAACGAUGUCAACUAGCCGUUGGGAGCCUUGAGCUCUUAAUGGCGCACCUAACGCAUUAAGUUGACCGCCUGGGGAGUACGGCCGCAAGGUUAAAACUCAAAUGAAUUGACGGGGGCCCGCACAAGCGGUGGAGCAUGUGGUUUAAUUCGAAACAACGCAAAAAACCUUACCAGGCCUUGACAUCCAAUGAACUUUCCAGAGAUGGAUGGGUGCCUUCGGGAACAUGAAAACAGGUGCUGCAUGGUGUUCAUCACUCUGGUCUGGAAUGUUUGUAUAGGUCCUGAAAACGAGAACUCUUGUCUAUAUUACAGGCCGUAUGGGGGGUCCCUUCUAAUGAAUGUAUGGUGCAACUCGAGCAGCUGGAUUAGGUCAGUUCAUGCAUUAGGCAUGUUUUCACUACCCGAGUCUA